AACGAACGCUGGCGGCAUGCCUAACACAUGCAAGUCGAACGAGAUCCUUCGGGGUCUAGUGGCGGACGGGUGAGUAACGCGUGGGGACCUGCCCAGGGGUACGGAAUAACUACGGGAAACUGUAGCUAAUACCGUAUGAUGCCGAAAGGCCAAGAUUUAUCGCCCUUGGAUGGACCCGCGUUGGAUUAGCUAGUUGGUGAGGUAAUGGCUCACCAAGGCGACGAUCCAUAGCUGGUUUGAGAAGAUGAUCAGCCACACUGGGACUGAGACACGGCCCAGACUCCUACGGGAGGCAGCAGUGGGGAAUAUUGGACAAUGGGGGCAACCCUGAUCCAGCAAUGCCGCGUGAGUGAAGAAGGCCUUAGGGUUGUAAAGCUCUUUCAGAUGGGAAGAUAAUGACGGUACCAUCAGAAGAAGCCCCCGGCUAAACUCCGUGCCAGCAGCCGCGGU
rnacentral:rRNA from 1 species